GCCCCCAUAGUUCAAUGGACAGAACUCCAGACUUCUAAGCUGGAUAUCGAGGUUCGAUUCCUCGUGGGGGCA
rnacentral:tRNA from 1 species